UAAUAAACUAUAACAAAGUUUUCAGAUAUCCAAAAACCAAACAAAUUCUAACAAUUCAUGUUGACAUAAGCAUGGAGAUCAAAGUUACCUUUUUGUGGUUGUUGAUCGAGAGCUAGGUAGAGAGGAGCAAAUUAGGGCUAGCUAUUGACGGCGGAGAGCAGCGGCGGACGACGGAGAGAUGGGCGGAUGGCGGAGAGCAACGGCGGAGAGAUGGGCUGACGGUGGAGAGAUGGGCGGAGGAGCGCAGCGGCGGACGG
rnacentral:lncRNA from 1 species